AGAGUUUGAUCAUGGCUCAGGAUAAACGCUGGCGGCGCACAUAAGACAUGCAAGUCGAACGAACUUAACCAUUAGUUUACUAUUGGAGCGGUUAGUGGCGGACUGGUGAGUAACACGUAAGCAACCUGCCUAUCAGAGGGGAACAACAGUUAGAAAUGACUGCUAAUACCGCAUAUGCCUUGAGUAUCACAUGGUACAAAAGGGAAAGGAGCAAUCCGCUGAUAGAUGGGCUUGCGUCUGAUUAGAUAGUUGGUGAGGUAACGGCCCACCAAGUCGACGAUCAGUAGCCGGACUGAGAGGUUGAACGGCCACAUUGGGACUGAGAUACGGCCCAGACUCCUACGGGAGGCAGCAGUCGGGAAUAUUGCGCAAUGGAGGAAACUCUGACGCAGUGACGCCGCGUGCAGGAAGAAGGUUUUCGGAUUGUAAACUGCUUUAGACAGGGAAGAAACAAGACAGUACCUGUAGAAUAAGCUCCGGCUAACUACGUGCCAGCAGCCGCGGUAAUACGUAGGGAGCAAGCGUUAUCCGGAUUUAUUGGGUGUAAAGGGUGCGUAGACGGGAAAUUAAGUUAGUUGUGAAAUCCCUCGGCUUAACUGAGGAACUGCAACUAAAACUGGUUUUCUUGAGUGCUGGAGAGGAAAGUGGAAUUCCUAGUGUAGCGGUGAAAUGCGUAGAUAUUAGGAGGAACACCAGUGGCGAAGGCGACUUUCUGGACAGUAACUGACGUUGAGGCACGAAAGUGUGGGGAGCAAACAGGAUUAGAUACCCUGGUAGUCCACACCGUAAACGAUGGAUACUAGGUGUAGGGUGUGAUAAACAUUCUGUGCCGUCGCAAACGCAGUAAGUAUCCCACCUGGGGAGUACGGCCGCAAGGUUGAAACUCAAAGGAAUUGACGGGGGCCCGCACAAGCAGUGGAGUAUGUGGUUUAAUUCGACGCAACGCGAAGAACCUUACCAGGGCUUGACAUCCCUUGACGAUGCUGGAAACAGCAUCUCUCUUCGGAGCAAGGAGACAGGUGGUGCAUGGUUGUCGUCAGCUCGUGUCGUGAGAUGUUGGGUUAAGUCCCGCAACGAGCGCAACCCUUAUGGUCAGUUACUACGCAAGAGGACUCUGGCCAGACUGCCGUUGACAAAACGGAGGAAGGUGGGGAUGACGUCAAAUCAUCAUGCCCUUUAUGACUUGGGCUACACACGUACUACAAUGGCGUUAAACAAAGAGAAGCAAGACCGCGAGGUGGAGCAAAACUCAGAAACAACGUCCCAGUUCGGACUGCAGGCUGCAACUCGCCUGCACGAAGUCGGAAUUGCUAGUAAUCGUGGAUCAGCAUGCCACGGUGAAUACGUUCCCGGGCCUUGUACACACCGCCCGUCACACCAUGAGAGCCGGGGGGACCCGAAGUCGGUAGUCUAACCGCAAGGAGGACGCCGCCGAAGGUAAAACUGGUUAUUGGGGUGAAGUCGUAACAAGGUA
rnacentral:rRNA from 1 species